CCAAAGGCUCUUUUAAGAGCCAUUCAUAUCUUUUAAAAGAGCAGA
rfam:Takifugu rubripes genomic scaffold, scaffold_3829